GAGCUGAAGGCAGACGCUUAACGACUGAGCCACCCAGGCGCCCCUACAUUUAUACAUUCUUUGUCCAAGUUUAUUUGCAGUCUUUUUCUGCAAAUGUAUUUUCUACUUCUGUGUACUACUAUAUCAACUACUAAUGAGUCUAUUCACAGUGAGUAUUGCUGGUUUUUUUUUUCCCCCAGAGAUAUACCGCAUUGUUUCCCAGAAGCAAAUGUCAGACAGACGUGAAAAUGACAUGUCUCCAAGCAACAAUGUGGUUCCUAUUCAUGUUCCACCAACCACUGAAAACAAGCCAAAGGUGCAGUGCUGUCAGAACAUUUAAGGCGUUUCUCUUCUCCCCUAGAAGGCUGUGUAUAGUCCAUUUCCCAGGUCUGAGAUUUAAAUAUAUUUGUAAUUCUUGUGGUCACUUUGUGUUUUAUUACUUCCUCAUACUUACGAAUUUUUCCAUGUCUUAAGUCUUUUGAUUUUAGCUUUAUAAAAUCAUCCACUUGCCCCGAAUGACUGCAGCUUUUUUUCAUGCUAUGGCUUCACUAGCCUUAGUUUAAUAAACUGAAUGUUUGGAUUCCUCAGUUAUUGUUUACUUUUCAUCAUGGAAGCCUGUCACUGUAGGACAUACUAGAACUUGAUCACUUGAAGCUCAGACCUAUUGGUCUUGAUCAAAUCAAACUAAGAAGACUUUAGAAGAAAUAAGCUAUCAUUUUGCCACAGAGCAGCUUAUAAUGAACAGCUUACAAUUCAUACACUCUUCUCUCAAUGCAGUGUAUAUUUCCACAAAUCUAAGAAUUGCCCUAUAAACACAGCAGGAUUUUGAGAGCUUGAAAAUUUUCCAUUAUUCUGGAAGUCAGUUUCUAAAAUGCCUUAAUAAGGUUAAGUAGUUUAGUAAAUUUUGUCUUUUAAUUUUUGUAAGCAUCAGAGUUGAUUAGAGAGGGGGACACUUUUUUCUGAAUAAGAAUUAUCUUAAUAAACAAAAGACUGUUUAUGGUUUCAGUAGCAGUGUGGUUAUGGAGCCAUAUGUUAAACAAUGCUGCCUGGCAGGCUGGGAACUUGAGAGACCGGUGGAAUUCCAUCUGAGAUGCCUCUGUUGCAAUGAUCAGGCAGACCAGAUCACUGAACUCAUCUAAUUUCCCAGCAGUAGAUUAUGUGGCAUUUUAUUGCUCAGGCAAUAACUGGUUUAAUGCUGUUAGUAUCAAAUUGUGAAGUGUUAAUUUUGUCUUAAAACCUUCCAGUAAAUGAAAUGCAACCUAGUUUUAUCACCGUAUCUAUCAGCAGGCAUGGAUAAUUAUUUUAACUAUGCUGAUUUUUGAGUUUUGCAGUAUAUUAUGGAAUACAGUCCAGUUAAAUAUCUGGUUUCAGUAUGUCUAAGGAAUAUAGUGAGAGGUUAAUUUCUGCUCAAGUGGUACCACUUAAAGGCAUGUAUUCUAGUACGUAGUACCUUGAGUUUAAAUAGAAUGCAUUUAGGCAUUAUACAAACCUGAACUACUUUUUCCCCACUAUAUUAUUGAAAUCAGUGGAGCAACUCGUUUCCCAUUUAGAAAUGUGCACACUAAUACUGAGUUUUACUUUGUUGUGGAUAAUAUUAAGCACUUACUCUGCAGUGUUCUGAAAGUUGUGUCAACUGAAUUGAUACUAUUCAGGAUGGUGGAAUAUCCCCCAAGUACAAAAAUACAUGUGUUUGGGCUUGCAUAGAUUACUAUGUUUCAUAGUUAAUCUGUCUUUUGCGGUGCUCAUGACGUGUGGGGCACAUGACAUGUGGGGCACACGGAAGGCAUUGCUGUGGUCAGUCUUUUGGUUUUCUUCUGUAGCCAUUUAUUAUUUUAGAGUUGGUUGGUUAUGAAGAUACUAUUAUCUAUUUGUAAAUCGCUACUUUGUAUUUUAUGCAUGCUCUGUAACUUGAUUUAUUUUUAUCUUUAUUUUAUUUUUUAGUUAUUGAUUUGGAAUAUAUUCACAUUCUAAUAAACAGUUAUAGGGGGACUAUUCUUUAUGUUGUCAGAUUACAUUUUUCCUUUGAGUGCUUUGGAUGCAGCCAUGGAAUAUUUGAUUCUGAUGAGUAAGAGCAUAGGUCCUUGCAUUACAGAGUAAACACUAAAUUGGAGGCAUCAUUGUGUGAAUUCAGCUUUGAUUUUAGACAUACGUUUCAGUUAUGCUUUUCUUGGAAAAAGUAUCACCAAAAACAUUAAAGGAAGUAAUCUUUGUACUUUCAUAUAUAACAGUGUCACCAGACCCGGGAAGGGGCAUUUACUCGAAAUUGGUAGUAAAUCUUUCACAAAAUUAUUUAAAAGAGGGAAACUCUAGGUGGUGAAUUGAAAAUGAGUAACUUUGAAUUUUUAUCAAGUAUAGACUUAAUGUUGCUGUGGCAUGGUUGGAUCUUGGGAGAAUUCCAAGAACCCUUUAAGUAGUAGUAGAAAAUGUCUUUGAUUGCAUCUUAACAGUGUCUUCAUUCUGAAUAGUAUCUCAGGAGACAAACUGUCUCAAGUAAGAAACAUUAAGUUUUAAAAUAUGACAGUGUAGGGUUCAAGGUAGUUUAGAAGUGUUUUGCUGCUUGACCCUGCUUUUCAGUCAUUUUAACUUUGAAUUUUUUUUUAACCUAUUCUGAAAAGCCAGUUAGCCAUCUUGACUUGAUUUAAACAUGUCAUUGGUCUCAAGUGCUAUCUAUGAUUUUAUUUUAAUAAUAGUAGUUACAACUCAGUAGGGGUAAGUUAUCAUUAGCCAUUGCAUUGUGUAUGCUAAAUUCUAAUUCUAAGAAGGGGUGCUAGCUGGUGACUUAGGCCAGCGGUCUUUUAAGUUCUGAAGGGUUCUGCAGAAAAGUUAGACGUCUGAGUUUAGAUUGUCCAUCAGAGCUUGUCCUAUUUAUUGUAUCAGUGGGAAAACGAAUAUUUUAAUUUUGUCUUCAGUGACUUGUAUUUACAAAAUACAAAUGCUCUCAAUGGUUUGAAUGUUGUCAUAAUUUCUUCCAUCUACCUUAAAGAGAAAAAAACAGUUUAGGCCGUUUUGGCCAGUACCAGAAGCAGAAUAAUUCAAAGCCUGGGUUGAUAUUAAGAACUUAUUCCAGCCUGUUAGGUUUCAAUUUACGGAGUUUUGUUUGUUUUUGUUUUUUAAACACAGGAAGAAAAUAGAGAUUGGUUAUUUGAUGUCUCACAAACAUUUUAAGCCUGAAGAAAAUUCGAAACAAAUUACGAAUUUUGUAUAAGGAUUAUGCAUGGCAUGUAUUCCCUGUAUGGGGGGAAAAAAAACAAAGACCAUGAAAGGAUCCUCUUCUAUCACAUGCUUUAAUGGGAUAGCAUAAUAGGCUAGUGCUAAAAAGAGGAGGGCUGAUUUUUGUUACCUUGGUUGGGUUGGUGCUGGUACCACACGCUUGCUGGGAUUUGACAGGUCACGUUUUCCACUCACCUAAAGGAUAUGCUAAAUAAACUGAAGUUGUCAUUGGAAUGUUUUAAAGAAUGGGUUGUAUUUCCCCAAACUAUAGGAGGCCAAGGGUAACAAUAAAGUUAUAUAAAAUGUCAUUACAGCUUCUGUAAAGGAGAUCAUAGGCUGAGAUCAUUUUAAUUGAAGCAUCCAUUUCAUUGAAAAUUGAAUUGGAGGAUAGAGAAAGAAUAUCUGAAAGGACAUUGAUAACUAGGCAUAUAUUAGAAAGUAUGCUGAACUAUUUGAGUUAGAUUGAAAGUGGCAGGUAUAAUAGAAGAGUGGAUUGGGUGACAAAGACUUGGAUUCUAGUCACAGAUCUUUUAGUCAAUUUCUCUGCACCUCACCUUCUUCCAGUUAGGGGAAUGGGUUAGAUUAUUUCUGGGGUUCAUUCCAGCUCCAAUUUGGCAAUUCUAUGAAUGAACUCUUCAGGGACUAGAGCCAAAUUAUUACACAUUUGAACUCAAGUUUAAUAGAUAAGUAAAAAUCACUUUGCAAAAUGUUUUUGGUCUUACAACUUGAUUAAAAUGUUACUAUUUCCAUGUUAACCUCAUUCCAUAAGAUGAAAGAUUUUAGAACAUUUGCAAAAUGACUGUCAUUUUCAACAAUAUGCAUCAAAGUAUCAUGUGCUUUGGAGGGGAGGAGCACUUGAGGGGCUGCUGUGUCAACUGUAAAUUGAGAACUGCUUGUUUUGGCUUUUAUUGUUAAAAUUCUGCUGGCUUUUAAUAUAUACUUUUAAAAUAUAUUCAUGUCUGGGUGAGAGAACUUUUAAAAAUAUCUUGUGUUUAAUUUUUUACUAUUAUCUCUUACAGGCAUCUGUAAGAAGGUAGAGCAGUCUAUAGAGCUAGCUAUCCGAGAGAAUCAGUGAUUAAAUCCAAGUGUAUAGGUUUUUGUGGCAAAAUACACACGAUAUAAAUGGCAUUAUUUGGCUGUUAGUUUACUAGUCUGAUCAUUUGAAAUCAGUUAUUUAACAUCAUUAUCGGUAGGUCCCAGCACAGAUGUCCUAUAUAUUUGCUGUUAACUACUAUAUGUUACCAGUACCAGUGAUGGUAGUGAAAAUUAGUAGCCAGUAGGAUUCCUUUUCUCUGUUUGAGUCCGUGGAACUUAACUUGCAUGUUACUCCCAUCCCAAUGAGUAAGUGUAUUGUUUUCAGAUUCAUUUCCCUUGACAACUUCCAGUCUCAGGGUACCAUUUUCUCAGAUCUCUCUAGGGAAGUGACAGAUGCUUUUCUUUAAGAAGUUGCUGACCAUUGUAUUAGUCUCUGUGCCAAAGCAUUUCAUCAUAUGGCCCUAAGAAUAUUAUAGAAGGUAAGGUCAUGCCUGAAAUGGGACAGUCUGGAAAGCCCCAGGAAGCAAUACUAUUUCUGCAGACUGUCUUUGAUAUGAAACCAACAAUGCAGGAUCUGUUAGGAUCAUCAGUUACUGGUUUUGGUUUACAUUUAAGUGGAUUCCUAAAUAACAGGAUUUUUAAGAUUUCCAGUCCCUGUGCUUUCUCCUCUCCAAGGCUCUGGAGGGCCAUCUGCUGGGCUAGACAAUGGCUUGGGAGGUAGAAGCUAGAAUUGAGGAGGGAAUCUGACAACCCAUCGCUACAAACUUGGGCUUCCGCCUUCUGUGGGUUUAGAUUGGAGUCCGAGUCUUUCUAGCUCUGCAAGUCAGGGAAGAAAAUGUAUAAUCAGUACCCUACUAAUCACUAUGGACCUGCAUUUAUCUCUGCCCUUUUGUAAUUGCUAAAUUGUAAGAUCCAUAAGCGUGGGAAUGUUCAUUGUUCAUAUUUACAUUCCUAAUACCUAUCCCCCCUGCUAUUCCAUGUCAGAACAAUAAAGAAGGGAUCUAAAAGAGUGAGGGGGCUAAUCCUAGGAUUCAUUCUAGUUUAGCUUGGGGAGCUAUAGUCUGAGAACUACCAUUCAGACUAAAAAAUACUUCAAUUAAAAGUUAUAUAAAAUGAUUAUAUAAAUGCUAUAUAAUAAUUAUACAGAAGUACAAAUGACAGUGUAAUGAAUCCCUAUGUAUCCAUCCAUCCCUUCUGAGAAAGAGUCUGUCUCCUGUUGUCACAUACUGAUGAAAUGGGCCUCUUCUGCCUGCCUUCUGGUUAAAUGAAUGGCUCAUAGAAUGUAUCAUUCUUGAAUCUUCUGUGUUGAGUGCAUAACCUGCAGCCUUUGGUUAUCCUUUAUGGUAUUGGGUAGUAAUCUGAGCCUCAUGAGUCAUAAUCUAAUACCACUAUUCUCAGUAAACACCUUUUUUAGCCUUACAACUCUUGAUCAUGUUUUGUUUUUCACUGAGAUGUCACCCUCCAGCCCUUGAAAAUUGUGUUAGUAAGAUAAUUUCAGAAUGAGUCUUAGUCUCUAACAAAAAUGUAUUAUUCUUGGUUAAACAUUGGGAAUAACUUGAGUGUCAUGUAAGCUUUGUGAACUGACAAGUUGAAAGGCUUAGGUUGACUUAAAUAGGAUUAUGUACAAACUUAGAAAGUAUGAAGGAAAAAUUUUAAACUUAACACUUUUGAAAGCAUCCAGUAAACUAUUUUUUUAGCAUCCAUGUUUUACUAUAAAAUUAAUUCUGCUGCUUCUUUACCAGUGAGGUCACAAGGUUAUGUUUUAAAAGGUCCUAAAACAUAUACCCACAGUAAUGUACUGGGUGAUAACUUCUAGUGGAAAGCUAUUCAUUGCACUUAAUGCAAAUUAGGUGGCCCAUCACUUGCUUUUAUUCCAUUCCAUAGAAGUACCUUUGUGCCUCUGGAGCUGAGCACAGGCUGUAAUAGUUGCCUUUGAGUUUAAAUCUUUGUGAAAGCAGAGAAAUUCUCUAUUUGAACAUUUGAUGUGUAUGAGAUUUUUCAGUAAUUUUUAGACAUGAAUAUGUUGAUCCCAUUCAUUAAAGGAAGAGACUCUUGUUAUAAAUAUGAUAGAACUUGUUCACUUUAUUUUCAAGUAUCUAUUGGGAUAAUUUUCACUUCUGGCUGCCUAAAGUGACCACACAAAAUGUAGUUUAGUCUACCUUUUAAACCUAAGUUGUAGAUUAUAGGCACAUUUUCAAUGUGCAACACAACAGUAGGCAUUCUUGUUAAAUUAGUUUGAGAAAUUCCUUUUAUUUUGUACAAGGUACAGUCCCUUUGCACAGUGAACAAAUAUAUUACAAAUCUGGGUUAUUUAAAAAAGUAUUGCCAUUUCAUAGUCUCACUUAUGCUAUUGUACAAUAAUAGUGUUUUCUUUAUUCAUUUGAAUUGAAUGCAAAUUACUUUGAGUGAAAACUGGUUUCUGUAAAAUAAUCAGAUCUUUCCAAGUUGCCAACAAAAUGCACAGUGCACAUAUUUAGGUUGACCAUGAACCUAUGUGUGACAGUGCUAGACAGAAGUUCCUAACAGUUGCUCUGUAAGAUUGAAAUGUCUUUUACCAGUAACUCUUAGAUCUGUGAAGGCAGCUGUUGUCACCAGAGAUGAAUCACACCCUCUGCCUUUCCCUUCUCUGUAUUGCCUAAUUUGAAUUGUAUUACAUUUCUUUAACAUUCAUAGAAUGCUAGAGCCAGAGGGUUGUUAGAGCUUCUUCCCUCUCUCUCCUUCUCCCCUUUUUAAUACGUGAGGAAGAAAGGAGCCCAGAGAGGGCAAGUAACACUCAAAUCUCUUAACCCCAUGCUUUAACAGUUCCACCAUGCUCCCUCUUGCUGAAUUUUGCCCAUAAGAUAGUUGGCAAACAAGAGGCGACACUUGAAACUGGCAUGAUGCUGCUUGUUUGCAGUGUGCCAGGCAGCAGUUACUGUACAUGCAGGGUAGGGGAAGAAGAUAAAGCCUGGGAUGGAGAUGAAGUUUCUCCUGGCUGAUCUGACUUCGCCAUGCUUCUUGAUCCUUGCUUUACAAAGAUAAUUGAGCACUUGCUGCCGUGAAAUACUGAGGCUUUUGUGGAAAGGAAAUUUGCUAUUGCUGAUCACUUGCUCCCAUGCACACAUGCAGCAUUCAUGUAAGUAUUCUAUGUUUUCCCCUAACAAUAAAAUUUGCUUAAGCCGUGAGUGAAGUGAGGGAGGGGGAUUUACUUAUUUUCUUGCUUUUGCUGGUCAUUGCCCCAACUAAUGGGUUCCAUGGCAGACUUCCAGGUUGUAUCAAGGGCUUCAGGACUCCCACACUUCCUGUAGCUGCUAUUCCAUCUCUGCGGUCAUUUAGUUCCUCUUCUGUUUACCUUUUUGGAAGUAUUUUUUACUGUCUGGCUGUUACCAGAGAAUGGAGUGGUAUAGGGGUGGCCAUUAGUUUCCUCGGUUUGCCCUUCUGGUCUUUAAUUCUUGUGAGGAGGUCCUCUUUUUUAGGGCUUGGGAGUUGGCUCCAGUUUGACUCAAACUGAGCCCCAGUUUACCUGGUUAGUAGUGGAAGGUACAGACACGUCUAAAUACUGGGAUCUGAAGCAUUAGCUCAUUGUACUAUGUUUUUGGCCAUUUCAGUAGGUGGUGGUUUUAAGGUAGAAGUACUUCAUAUCCUUACUUUCUGUUUACUGUAAAGUUUUACAUCAUGUUACAGCAGCUGAUUACAGUCCAUUCUUUUCAUUUAGUUUCAUCAAAAAGCAUCAUGUAAUUUAAGCAGCUUAUUAAACUUGCUAUAUCCACUUUUAUCUAAUUUCUUCUACACUUUUAGGUUCUAUACUACAUCAAGCUCAAGAUUUAUGAAGAAAUGCAUGAAAGCAAGUACUCUUCUGAGUCAAGGGAUGCCAAUCAAAUAAAUUCGGGAGGCCUUUAGGGAUACUUCGUUCUUACCAGUCUGUGACUGCUUGCUUAAAGGCAUCAUCUCAGAGUUCUGUUUCACAUGGAAUGACUCAGGUGUUGGAUGGAUUGAGGAGCUAUGACCAGGCUAGGAAUGACUUGGCAAUGUUCUCAAACUUUGAAUCAGCAAGAUUUGGUAAAGCUGGCCUAGAAAUCAUUAUAGACUGAAAGAGGCUGCUGCGCUUUGAAAACUCCUACUACCACGAAGGGCAGAAGAGGGAAAGUUAAUUUGUAUUUAUUAAAGUCUUAUUUUUAAAAAAU